UGCAGUCGAACGGUGAAGAGGAGCUUGCUCCUUGGAUCAGUGGCGAACGGGUGAGUAACACGUGAGCAAUCUGCCCUUGACUCUGGGAUAACUGCGGGAAACUGUAGCUAAUACCGGAUAUUACCUUGGAAGGCAUCUUCUGGGGUGGAAAGAAUUUUGGUCAAGGAUGAGCUCGCGGCCUAUCAGCUAGUUGGUGAGGUAAUGGCUCACCAAGGCGACGACGGGUAGCCGGCCUGAGAGGGUGACCGGCCACACUGGGACUGAGACACGGCCCAGACUCCUACGGGAGGCAGCAGUGGGGAAUAUUGCACAAUGGGCGCAAGCCUGAUGCAGCAACGCCGCGUGAGGGACGACGGCCUUCGGGUUGUAAACCUCUUUUAGUAGGGAAGAAGCGACUGGGUUUUCCUGGGAGUGACGGUACCUGCAGAAAAAGCACCGGCUAACUACGUGCCAGCAGCCGCGGUAAUACGUAGGGUGCAAGCGUUGUCCGGAAUUAUUGGGCGUAAAGAGCUCGUAGGCGGUUUGUCGCGUCUGCUGUGAAAACCCGAGGCUCAACCUCGGGCCUGCAGUGGGUACGGGCAGACUAGAGUGCGGUAGGGGAGAUUGGAAUUCCUGGUGUAGCGGUGGAAUGCGCAGAUAUCAGGAGGAACACCAAUGGCGAAGGCAGAUCUCUGGGCCGUAACUGACGCUGAGGAGCGAAAGCAUGGGGAGCGAACAGGAUUAGAUACCCUGGUAGUCCAUGCCGUAAA
rnacentral:rRNA from 1 species